UCCCUGAAGGACUAGUGGUUAGGCCUCGGUGAUCUCACUGCCACGGCCCGGGUUCGAUUCCCUGCCAGGGAA